rnacentral:sRNA from 1 species
AGGACGGGCCUUUCAGGCAUCCUCUCCUAAUGACUUUACGGCCGGCCCCUCGGGGUCGGCCUUUUUUUUCCUUCGC